CUUUAGUGCUCGUUAUUGUGAGUGUUAAUAAUCCGAAUCAGUGCUUCCUUUUGUUUUUAGUGAGAGUGCUGAAGAAAUAUCCUCUGUUCCUGUGGCACAGGACAAAGGAAUGUAUGUUAACAUGCACCAAGCUCGGGACACAGAGGACACUUCAGAGAUUUUUGAGUUUGUCUCGCCCUACGAAGAUGUUGGCCAUAAAGACUUCCCGUUGCAAGAGAAAACAGUAGCUGCUGCUGUUUCAGACUCCAGUGUUCCCAGACAACGGUCUUCAUUGUUUAAGAAAGUACCUACUGCUCUGUCCAGAGUUUUCUCACGAUCUUCUUCUAUUAGCGCACCGAAUGGGCCCCCACCAGAUCCUGAGAAAGCAUAGGAGAUCCAUGCCAUGCGAGAAAGCGUAUAUGCCAGAGAGAAUAAAUAUUUUAGU